GGCCGUUGCUAUUAGGAAUUCAAGUCCUGCUCCCCUCACUGGAAGUGAUAAUAGCAGCGGCCAACUGGUCACCCCCACCCACCAGAGCCUCCCACCCGUCCAUGGACCAACUGGCCAGGGCCAUGGCCUCCUCCUCCUCUCCUGGGCUGCCAAGCGCCCUGUCCACUCGCCCGUGAUCCUGUCAGCAGCUGGAUUCGAUGUGAAAUCCAAUCAGCAGAAGAUGAAGACAAGAAAAACGAAUGCCCCUUCUCUCCCUUACCCAGCAUGGCAGGGGGGCCUCUAUCCAUGGGAAGGGGCAGGACGGGCUCUGUCUACUUGCCCCAGCCUCCACCCUUCUCUCCUCUCCUUAGCCUGAGGGAAGAGGUGUAUACCAGGCCAGGUAACCCUUGGCCAGGUGGGCUUGGACUCCUGCCCGCUCCCCGCCUCCCCUCCACCCCCAGGCCCUGAGGCCCAGGCGUUCCCUCGGAAGCAACGAGGCCAAGGUAGCUCUGUUCCAACUGCCCACCCCCGAGGGCUCUGUGCUACAUACUGUGUUCCCACUGCGGGUUUGUCUGAAGGAAGACUUGCCAUUGUCAAGUACGAAGAUCAUUCAUCCGGUUCUGCCUCCUUAGGAACUUGAGACCAGAGAAAUGAAAUGAUUUGCCGGGUCGCAGACUCCCCUUCCCCCCCUCCCCGCCGACUCCCAGCCUUCAAGUCAGCGAGCAGACAGCCCAUUUAGAACCCGCGUUUGGAAUUCCGUGUACAUGAGUCAACGUCUUAGGGGAUUGUUUGCUUAUCAUAUUCUCCAGAACGAAAGAGAUCGUUCCUUCCCCUUUGCAGACAUGUGUGUUCUCUGGACCUGGGAAGGGAGAAAUCUUAGGCACUCGCCCUGUCACGUCGGGGACAUUAGCCAGGGAAGCCCUGUCUGUCUGGAAGGACGCGGGGUCGUUCUGCAAACAGAACCUGCUCUGCCCUCUUGGCCCGUAGGUUGGUGCGUAGCACCCUCUGCUCUGUUUCCUGCCAACUUUUGUUUCCUGCAGAUUCCUCGGUGUGACACUGUUUGUAUUAUAACCGCCUUGCCCGUGACCCCAGGAGGGUUUUUUUUAAAUUUUACUUUAUUAGAGGGAAAUGCAAAGUCGCAGGCAAGCUCGUUAAUGUAUUGUUCACACGCAAUGGUAAAUUACUGCCAUUCCUUCCCGUGUACGGAUCAUACAUCACGGCACGGAUCAUAUCACGGCACGGUGAUUACAGGGAAAUGACUGCCUGCGUGUCACCGGCGUGUCGCAGGGACCACCGUGCCUCAUUCUCUCUCUCUCUCUCUCUUACAAGAAGUAAUUGCCACUGUGGCUUCUCCAUCUUCUCGCUCACGCAUCACUCUUGUCCUCGAGGGUAGACUGUGCCUUGGCAUCAAGCAGCGCCCUUAUAUUUUUUCUAGGUUGAAUCUAGAGACGCUGAUCUUUCUGUGCUAAGCCAGGAGGUCUUGUUCCUGUUUUUCAAGCGGAACCAAGUUUUCAGGCUUCCCUGCUAUUUCUCUCCCGGCUCCUUUUUCCUUGGAUUUUAUGAGCCCUGACCUGGAGGGUGGCCCUGAACUCCGCCCCCCUCACCCCUGUCGUGUCCCCUGUCCACGGGCCUUCGCCCCUGGGCAGGUCCUCUCCGCACCUCGCCUUCCUUUUGCCUCACUGGGAACACGUGACCAUCAGCCCUCCAGCUCUCUGGUGUCUUAGAAGUAGUAUGUUUUUUGCCUCAGUCACAUGCAGGGACUUACACUGACGUUGAAGGAAGAAGAGAGGGGAUUCUUCUUCCCACCGAAGGGAGCAAAGGUGGCAGAAUUCUGGAAUGGUGUCUCCCACCAAAUUAAGAAAUGAGGACACCCCUUCCCCCACCACACACUCACCUUCAGAGAAGGGAUCCCCCAGGUUCCAGCCGGCUGCCCCCAGCCCUCCAUCCCUGGCUGUCAACAGGCAGACAGCCUGUUGGGGGGCCUCCAUCGGCCCCGGGGGCACAGUGGAUCUGGGCUCAGGUGCCAGCUCUCAUGUCUUCAUGGAACCAUCUCUUGGGGGCCAGGCUUAGGGAUGGGUUGACUCAUGAGUCGGUGAAUAAAUCUAAAGAUGGAAAACACCUCUGUUCCUUUCGGUAAGCAUUUUGCCCACAAGUAUCUUAGUCUUAUUUACUAGGUUGUCUGGCACCUAACAGCCUGCAUGAGGAGUAGAGUAGCUCCAUGCUAUCUAUUAAGCAGGCACACUCUUUGCCAUGUAAAGCGAACCUCCCUUUGACAAGGUGCCUUAUAAGACCGGGUGAGAGCAGCGGGCGCUCAGAAGGGACCGUCCCUGGCACGACGCGCCAGCCCGGUGGCGGACGGGCCAGCGCAUCUCUCGGGA